rnacentral:sRNA from 1 species
GAGGAGGACUCCAUGAAGAAGUUGCUGACCAUUGCGAUCCUGGCCGCCGCUGCCGUUGCAGUGCCGCUGGUGCUGGCGCAGAACGCCGGCCAGCCGGCCCCGCAGCAGGGCGACCAGGCCGACAAGGCGCAGUCCGAGGCGGACGCCAAGGCCAAGCGCCGCGCCCAGGCCAAUGCCGAAAUGAAGGCCAAGGGCCAGCCGGUCCCGCAGCAGGAAGAAGAGGAAGAAGCGCGCAAGAAGCGCUGAUCCCACAACCUGCCAGGCGCCCUUGCGACAAGGGUUGCGCUCCGGAACGCCCCGCCCAGCGGGGCGUUUUUUGUUGG